GGAAGUGAAUAGGUCAUAAUACAGUCUGUUACACACUGUAAUGGGGUGGGCAUAGCAGAUGCUAUGGGACCACACAGAAGGGGCAUCUUAACAGCAUGUUGGGGAAAUGAGAGAUGUCUUAAUACCGGAGAUGAUUUUUAAAAGAAGAACUUGAAUAGGAGAAAGGAGCUCUGGGGAAGAAGUAUAUUAGGCAGAGGAAAUAUUUAGGGUGAAGGCCAAGCAAAGCAAUUGUGUGGAAGGGGAAUGAGAAAGAUACUGUCUGAUGCUUUGAACUGCUCUGGACAAAGAAUAAAACCAGGUCCAGAAGUAAUCAGAAUAUCAGUUGGAUUAAGAUAAGAGCCAGAAAGAAUUCAAGGAGGAUGGAACUCUAGCUCAGCAGUGAAAAUCUCAAAGACCUCAAGAUGAGUCUUAAGGAAAGAAUAGUUUCAAUCAUCAGAAGCAGGGGAAAUGGCAGAGUAAGAGGAAAAGCCUGAGAUAGGCCAGAUAGAACAUUCUUCUCCCUGUUUCUUUUGUGUGAUGUUCUACUAGCCUAGAUUUGUGUCUCCCAGCCCCACACUUCCUUCUUAUACUUUUUUCAAAAUUCAUGUGGUUACAUUCUCCAUGAAGAUCUCUAGACCCACAGAGAGAAAACCAGUCCAUUCCUUUAGUCUACAGAGUUGCUUGAUUUGGGACAAUAAGGUUUCUCUGCUGGAAGAUGAUGAAGUGCACGUGGGUGGUGUAUAUGCUUCCUGGAAAACACAAGAAGUCAAUGGUGCACCUUUAUUAGAAAGAAAUCAACCAUGCACCUGUUUUAGAAGAGAGUUCUUUUGA
rnacentral:lncRNA from 1 species